GUGAGGAAUAUUGGUCAAUGGGCGGGAGCCUGAACCAGCCAAGUCGCGUGAAGGAAGAAGGAUCUAUGGUUCGUAAACUUCUUUUGCAGGGGAAUAAAGUGCAGGACGUGUCCUGUUUUGUAUGUACCCUGAGAAUAAGGAUCGGCUAACUCCGUGCCAGCAGCCGCGGUAAUACGGAGGAUCCGAGCGUUAUCCAGAUUUAUUGGGUUUAAAGGGUGCGUAGGUGGUUUGAUAAGUCAGCGGUGAAAGUUUGCAGCUUAACUGUAAAAAUGCCGUUGAAACUGUCGGACUUGAGUGUAAAUGAGGUAGGCGGAAUGCGUGGUGUAGCGGUGAAAUGCAUAGAUAUCACGCAGAACUCCGAUUGCGAAGGCAGCUUACUAAGCUACAACUGACACUGAAGCACGAAAGCGUGGGGAUCAAACAGGAUUAGAAACCCUGGUAGUCC
rnacentral:rRNA from 1 species